rnacentral:rRNA from 1 species
CCUACGGGUGGCAGCAGUAGGGAAUCUUCCACAAUGGGCGAAAGCCUGAUGGAGCAACGCCGCGUGGGUGAAGAAGGUCUUCGGAUCGUAAAACCCUGUUGUUAGAGAAGAAAGGGCGUGAGAGUAACUGUUCACGUGUCGACGGUAUCUAACCAGAAAGCCACGGCUAACUACGUGCCAGCAGCCGCGGUAAUACGUAGGUGGCAAGCGUUCUCCGGAUUUAUUGGGCGGAAAGGGAACGCAGGCGGUCUUUUAAGUCUGAUGUGAAGGCCUUCGGCUUCACCGGAGUAGUGCAUUGGAAACUGGGAGACUUGAGUGCAGACGAGGCGAGUGGAACUCCAUUUGUAGCGG